UUGAUUUUUAAACAUUUCAAAUCAUUGAAAAUUGAUUUGUGAUGUAUCACUUGAUGAUUUUUUGGGGUGAUUAUGAGGGAAUUAGAUCCAAAAAUUCGAAGUACAAAAUUUAUCCCUCAUAUUUAAGAAUAGAAUUCAGUCCUAAUUCAUUUCGUCCUUUUCUUUCAACCAGCACCAGAUUUUCUCUCAACUGCCCUCUCUCGUGCUCUUCAAUUUCUUCCAUUAACAGACACCAAACAUUCUCUUCACCUUAGGUAAAUAUUAUCUUCUUCAUGCUGGAUAUCCACAGAUGAAAGGAUAUGUAGGCCCUUAUAAAGGGGAAAGAUUUCAUCUUCCUAAUUUUCGUCAUGGGAGUCAACCAAGAGAUGGCGAAUGUUACACCAUAUGCAUAGUUUUCCUUUUGAUGAACGAGUGAAGAUUGUUGUUGCAUCAAUGGCACUUCAUAAUUUUAUAAGAACUCGUUCUACAACUGACUUUGAGUUCAAGUUUUUUGGUGAUGGUAAAGAUUUGUUCCCCUCAAGUGAUGACCGAAACGAGUUGAGUAUUGUUGAAGAAAAUGAAAUUUCUUGUCAUGGAAGGGAGGUGGAAGAGGAGUGGGAGAAAAUUGCAAUACUUCUUAUAUCUUGUUAAUGUUUUUAUUAUACAGUUUGUAUAAUAGAUAAUAUCUAGUUUAAAUAUUUUAUAAAGAUAUAAAUACUUCUAGAUUGGAUGAGA